AUUCCAGCUCCAAUAGCGUAUAUUAAAGUUGUUGCAGUUAAAAAGCUCGUAGUUGGAUUUGUGGUUGGAGCGGGUCGGUCCGACACUCUGUGUGGGUACUUGACUGUCUCCGUCCAUCCUUGGGUGGAACCUGUGUGGCAUUAGGUUGUCGUGCAGGGGAUGCCCAUCUUUUACUGUGAAUAAAUUAGAGUGUUCAAAGCAGGCUUACGCCGUUGAAUAUGCUAGCAUGGAAUAAUAAGAUAGGACCUUGGUACUAUUUUGUUGGUUUGCGCACCGAGGUAAUGAUUAAUAGGGACAGUUGGGGGUAUUCGUAUUGCACUGUCAGAGGUGAAAUUCUUGGAUUUUUGCAAGACGAACGACUGCGAAAGCAUUUACCAAGGAUGUUUUCAUUA
rnacentral:rRNA from 1 species